rnacentral:snRNA from 1 species
AGCUCUGCACAGUGGCAGUAUUUUAGCCAAUGAGCUUUAUCCGAGGUGUAAUUAUUGCUAACUGAAAACUUUUCCCCAAAAUCAGUG